GGGACAGGAGGAAGGUUGUCUGCAGCCCUCAGAGAGCAGCACAGUUGUCCUCUUGUCCCUGCCGCUAGGAAGAGCUGUGAGGCCAUCAGAGGUGGGGUCCUGGGCUGUUCAACAGCGCGACUUUGAGAGCUCCGACCCCAGUGUGGGGAGGCAGCACUGUGUGUGUGUGUGUGUGGUUACCCAGAGCACAUUCUCCUGAAAGGAUUUGCAACCGUCUUGAAAUACUGUAGUAUGUUGCCAUGUGUGACAGGAUAGUCAUUGAGGGCUCUUCCUGAAGGGCGGCCUUGGUGGCCUGAGUGUGAGACAGGAGUCCACUGUGAGCAUGCUUUCGUGACAGUGUGCGCACUCUCUCUCCCACCCAGAUGCCACAGAGGGACCCCCCUGCCCUGGGUGGGGAAGCCUCUGGCUCUGAGGCUCGUCAGGUGGCCGUGCAGGAAGGACCAUCCCUCUAGGGAUGAGGAAGAGGAAGUUUUAGGGCCACAGAGCUGUGGGCGCAUUUCCUCUGGUCCCCUGAAUGCCACGAAUGUUCCAGCCUGUGGAACAUUCAAGCUGGGAACCACUUAGUCCCGAGAGCUUCUUUUCCCUUUUUUUUUUUUUUUUUUUUGCCAGUGUCACCUCCCCUGCUGGGCCUGCAAAUACAUCUGUGUGUCACUUUCUGGGCAGGGAGCGAGAGGACGAAGAGAAUGGCAUCUGCAAAUCACUUCAUGCCGGCAAUAAGAUUACAGAAAAUCUCUUGAAAGUGGGGCUGCGUGACAUGUUCAGACGGUGUGUCACUACCUCCACCCCCAGCUCAGCCUCUCCUGUUGUCAGGCGUACACAUGAGGAAGAAGGUGACAAGCUUUUUGGGGACAGGCCACCCCCAGAAGAUCACUUCAGGUGGAGAUUUCUGUGCAGGCUUUGGUUUGGAUCCUGAGCACUAACUCAUCCCCUGAGGGUGUGGAAAUCCAGCAGAGGAUUCCUAUGAAUAUGGAAACUCCCCAGGCUGAACCUCACCUGACACAUCCUUAGUACCUAUCAUUUCCUGAAAUAAAAGGCAAAGAAAUACAAUGUGCGUAAUUCUCAAAGUUGGGUAGAAAAAGAUAAAAAUUUAAAUGUUUAAUUUUUUAAAAAUUUCAAAUGACUAUUGUUUGGUUUUGACUUUUUUUGUUGUCUACACUUUUCCUUCUCACUGUGAAGCCAAAACAUUCACUCCAGUUUAACUUUAAUUCCAGCUGGCCCCACUGCCUACUAAAAAGACAUAAGAACAUGAUAUGUUCAAGGUUACCAACAAUGCUCUGGAUAUUUUCUGAAAAAUUGUUUUGGCUUUGGCAAGAUUCAGAAUCCAUAAACACAUUUUGUUAUGCAUUCUUUUAGUGUUUACAUAUUGCUUUAAAAAACAAUGAUUUUUCUUCUGGUUUAGUUAUGUUCACGCUUUUCCUUAUUUGUCUCAUAGUUUGUUGCCACACACAACAAAAUUGUUUAAGAGGAAAGAACAAUUUAUAACCGCAUCCCCACUGGCUCCUAAAUAAGCAUAUUCCAUCAAUAGAUACAUCACUAUUAGUGUAUGAGAUCUACUUUGGUCCAGAGGCAUAUGAAUGAAUCUUGGCAGGAACUAUGGCAAUGUGUAAAUCUUUGGGGAAAAAAGACUUUCAAAUAGUCAUCUUCCAUGAGUGCUUUCCAUAAGUCACAGUUACAGGGCCUUUCCUUCCCUCUCCUCUUCUUCCUUCCUCCCUCCCUCCCUUUUUCUCCUUCCCUCCCUUCCUGCCUUCCUUCCCUUCUUUCCUCUCUUUCCUCCCUUCCUUCUUUUCCUUCCUCUUUUCCAAAUUGCACUUCCGAGAAGACAUGGUGUCUAACGAAGGCCACAGAGUUUUCCAAGCAGAACUACAGCUGGACUAAUAAAAACUGUGUCCUUGAUUAAGUAUUGGAAAUCUUGACAUUUCUUGCUGGUUAAAUUAUUUCCAGUGUACGGAACAGGUGUGUGUAGGAGGCUGGGUUGAGUGAGUGGCUUAUUUCUAUCCACGUGUCAGCCUUGGAGGAUUCUGUCCAGAUGUCAACCUCCAAGGUCCUUUGUCCUAUGGUGCAGGACAGGGUUGUGCAGCUCCUUGCUGUGCUCAGCUCUGUCAGGCAGCCUGGGGUCAGUCCUCAGCCUUCCUGGGCUCAGGGCUCUUCCUCACUCAGCCCCAGGGCCAUUACAUUUGCUAGUCCUUCCUGCUGGUCCUGUGAUUGCUGCCCCAUGCCCUCGUGUUCUCUUCUCCAGGAUCCCCUCCUCAGAGACCUCUGGCCUUCCUGGCUAGGGAAGCCCCUGCAGGCUUUCAUCACAUUUCUCUUCCUUUUCUCUCUUCGUGUCUUUCCCUUGUCAUUUGUACCCCCAGGAGCCUCACAAGAGAAGAGCCUUCUCCUGCCUGAUUUGCAUAAUGAGGCUGAGCCAGGGUAUCCCCUGCCCUAGCAGGAGAGGUGCCCAGUGGUAUCGUGGGCAUCAGGUGGGGUGUGGCUAAGGGGGAAGGGGAUGACACAUUGCUCAGGAAAACAGGGACAAAAGACACAAAGCCAUCCAAAGGUGAUUAAAGCAAUGCUGUCAGCAGAAGCAGAGCUGGUGUUGGGGGACAGUGGGACAGGAAGCCCCAUGAAGAGGGGAAGGGUAGGCUUGUGAAGGGCUGAGUCCCGAGCUGAUGGUCGCUCACGGUAAGCUGCAGGCCAGAACAGGGGAGAGGCCAAACCUCUAGGAUUUAAGGAAAGCAGCAGCAGCAAUGGCUCUGCAGCUGGAGAGGCUCAAAGGGAAGUCAGAGCAUAUGAUUCCCAGCCAGAAUCUUCCCAUGGCCUCUGUAUUCCAUUCCUAGUUUGACUGUGAGCUAUUGCCCCAAACUGGGUGGCUGCAAGCAGAAUUUCUCUGAAGACUCAGGAGGCCAGAGGUCUGAGAUCAAGCUGCGGGUGGGGCUGGUUCCUGCCCUGGCCAGGGAAGGGGAUGGAUCUGCUCCAGGCCUCCCUUCCAGCUUCAGGUCAUGGGCAAUCCUGGGUGUUCCUGGGAUUGUAGAUGCCUCACUCCAGCCUUUGCGUCUGUGGUCACAUGCUGGUCUCCCUGUGUGUCUUCACCUGCCUUAUUAGGAUGCUAGUCAUUAUAUUUGGGACUAGGCACAAGGGGUGAGGCCUGGGGCAGUCUGCGCCGGGAGUUGGGGAGCAGGAGGCCAAUGUGUCUGGAAAGAGGUGGACCAGGGCACUGUGGGACCCCAGGUCAGAGAGGGGAUUGGAAUGGAUCCAUGUAUGAGGAGGAUGCUGGUUUUCUCUGGGCACGACCAGAGCCUUUGGAGAGAAGGGGGUUGUGCUCUGACUUGUCUAGAUGGACCCUUGGACCAUGUGUGGACACAGAUGGGGACCUAGGGCAGAAGCAGUUGGGCCCAGGAGAAUGGAAGAGGAAGGGCCAGGAGGGCACCACUGUGGCUCUGAAAUGCUUUAGGGUUCGUAUCUGAGGUGGGGUUGAUGGGAUUUGCAAAUGGAUGGACUAGAGGGAGUCCGAAGAAAGCAUGAGCAAAGCAGAGAGGACCCCAGGAUCUGGCCGGGCAGCUGGGGGCACCAAGGUCUGUUGAAGAGGGGUCUUUCACUUCAGCUGCAGGGAUGUCUCCUGUGCUGUCCCUGAGUGAGGCAGCCCGACUUUGUUCUUGUCUCUGAGGGAUAAAGGUCAAUGUCACAGCAGCUCUGCUCUGAUGCCGUCUUCAAGCAGAGAUCUUCAUAUUCAGUGAGAAAUCUGCACUGAUGAAAUUUUCAUUAAAGAAACAUUAUCCCUCUCACUCCCCUUGUUAGUCUGUGGCUUUGACGAUCAGGCUAAUUUGGGUCUGACGACCCAGUGAUCUACACAUCGGAGCAUUAUUAAACAUUUAGAUGAGCAGGGAUAUGUCAGGGCUCCCUCUCCUCCCUCGGCUGGAGCAUGGGGGGUUGGGGGGGCUCUGCUAAUGAUCACAGUGAAGCCGGGGCCGUCGUGCCUAUCAGAGAAUUAUCUAUAGACUGAGGGCACUCUGGUCCCUCUGCCUACAACGGAAAUUAGCUUGGCUUGCAGGGCAUGCGACUUAAUUGAUGAAAUGCAUCAAAGAAAAGUCCAGUCUUGGACACUGCUUUACAUAAAAUAGCACCUAUGCCCGAGCAAGUACCUCCCCCUGGAAACGUCACACCUGCCCCAUCUGCAGUGUGGGAGGGCUGGGCGGGUGGACACUUAACGAGGUGCCGUGGGUGGAGGCAGCUAAAGGGGCCCUGUCAGCAAACUGGUUUAAUGACCGUUUCUGUGGCAUUGGUGAUCUCAGGUGAUCCAGGUUGAAGGUGUGUUAUGGUGUCUAAUUCCUCCAAAGAUCCUGAGUUAGAUAUUCUUAUCAUUCUUACCUUACAGAUGGGAAAACUACCAACCAGUAUUAGAUAACUUGCGAGGCAUCACCUGCUUGUCAGGAGCAAAGGCAGGAUUUGAACCCAGCUGGCCCGGCUCCAGAGACCUUGCCAUGAAUCUCUGAACCAAACUGUUUAUUAUUAUUAUUUUACUGUUAUUAUUAUAUUAUUGGAGGCACAGUGUUUUUAAAAUUAUCAGAAUUUUGAACUGUGUAUUUUCAUGUCAGAUAUAAUUGGUUUUCUGGAAAAAUUGCUCCGUCAAUGCUCAGCCCGCGUCCCACCUCUCCACAGGCAUCUCUACCCACACUCCUGCAGAGUGGGAUGUCUUCCUGUCUACCUCUGUCCCCAGCCCAGGGUUUCCCAUCACCAUGGCUGAAUGUCCUCUGUCUUUGAUCAUUGGAUUCACUCUGUUUUAGGGAGCUGAGAUUGCUUGACUUACCUGCCUUGUCCUGGCAGGCAUUUGGGUUUGUAAUCUCUAAGCUGUGUGUGUGUGUGUUGCUAGUCCUUGCCAUAUUGCAAUUUUUGGUUUCAUG
rnacentral:lncRNA from 1 species